rnacentral:rRNA from 1 species
AAAUUGAAGAGUUUGAUCAUGGCUCAGAUUGAACGCUGGCGGCAGGCCUAACACAUGCAAGUCGAACGGUAACAGGAAGCAGCUUGCUGCUUUGCUGACGAGUGGCGGACGGGUGAGUAAUGUCUGGGAAACUGCCUGAUGGAGGGGGAUAACUACUGGAAACGGUGGCUAAUACCGCAUAACGUCGCAAGACCAAAGAGGGGGACCUUCGGGCCUCUUGCCAUCAGAUGUGCCCAGAUGGGAUUAGCUUGUUGGUGAGGUAACGGCUCACCAAGGCGACGAUCCCUAGCUGGUCUGAGAGGAUGACCAGCCACACUGGAACUGAGACACGGUCCAGACUCCUACGGGAGGCAGCAGUGGGGAAUAUUGCACAAUGGGCGCAAGCCUGAUGCAGCCAUGCCGCGUGUAUGAAGAAGGCCUUCGGGUUGUAAAGUACUUUCAGCGGGGAGGAAGGUGUUGCGGUUAAUAACCGCAGCAAUUGACGUUACCCGCAGAAGAAGCACCGGCUAACUCCGUGCCAGCAGCCGCGGUAAUACGGAGGGUGCAAGCGUUAAUCGGAAUUACUGGGCGUAAAGCGCACGCAGGCGGUCUGUCAAGUCGGAUGUGAAAUCCCCGGGCUCAACCUGGGAACUGCAUUCGAAACUGGCAGGCUUGAGUCUUGUAGAGGGGGGUAGAAUUCCAGGUGUAGCGGUGAAAUGCGUAGAGAUCUGGAGGAAUACCGGUGGCGAAGGCGGCCCCCUGGACAAAGACUGACGCUCAGGUGCGAAAGCGUGGGGAGCAAACAGGAUUAGAUACCCUGGUAGUCCACGCCGUAAACGAUGUCUACUUGGAGGUUGUGCCCUUGAGGCGUGGCUUCCGGAGCUAACGCGUUAAGUAGACCGCCUGGGGAGUACAGCCGCAAGGUUAAAACUCAAAUGAAUUGACGGGGGCCCGCACAAGCGGUGGAGCAUGUGGUUUAAUUCGAUGCAACGCGAAGAACCUUACCUGGUCUUGACAUCCACGGAAGUUUUCAGAGAUGAGAAUGUGCCUUCGGG